rnacentral:lncRNA from 1 species
CCCAGUCUUCCCCAUCAGGCUACAAGAGGUGUUCCCAAGCCAUUUCAUUUUCACUUUGUUUUCACUUUUUUUACCACCUGAUAGGCACGUCACCUGAUAGGCGAAUGCGUAUCCCUAAUCAACGCUACAUCCUCUUGAGGUAACUCAGUGUAACGGCUGUCUUCAUAAAUGGACCAAGGCGCAGCAGGUAUGUGAAUACUCAUCUUUAAUUAAAAGUAAGGAGUAAAGCAUCCACUUAACAACACAAAAAGGUGUUCAGUGACAGUUCUGCAGGCUAUAAACGCAGUGCAAAAACAACCACCCACAAACCCCAGUGACAAACAUACUCCUACAUAUAUGACUCCCAAUCAGGAACAACGAUCCCCAGCUGUUCCUGAUCAGGAGUCACAAGACACACAGAACAUUCAAACACAACCGCAAGACUGCCACGUCCUGACCCCCAAACUACUACAACAGCUCCAUCUGCUGGUCAGGACGUGACAGUACCCCCCCCCCCUCAAGGUGCAGACCCCGGAAUGCACCUAACAACAAAAAAAACACCAACAAACAAAAUCCCCAACAAAAUCCAUAAACACUAACCCUUAAACAAUAAGGGAGGGAAGGGAGGGUGGCUGCCGUCAACGACGGCACUGUGCUACACCCUCCCUCCCCAACCCACCUAUCCUGGAGGUGGCUCAGGUGCAGGCCGUGGACCUCGCUCCACCUUCGGCGUCGCCCACUUUGAUGGCGCCGAUAGCUGCACCGGGCAGACGGGCCACUCGGGCUGACCCUGGCAGACGGACCACUCGGGCUGGACCGGAGGACAGGAGGGCCCCUCGGGCUGGGCCGGGGGACAGGAGGGCCCCUCGGGCUGGACCGGAGGGCAGGAGGGCCACUCGGGCUGGACCGGAGGGCAGGAGGGCCCCUCGGGCUGGACCGGAGGGCAGGAGGGCCACUCGGGCUGGACCGGAGGGCAGGAGGGCCACUCGGGCUGGACCGGAGGGCAGGAGGGCCACUCGGGCUGGACCGGAGGGCAGGAGGGCCACUCGGGCUGGACCGGAGGGCAGGAGGGCCACUCGGGCUGGACCGGAGGGCAGGAGGGCCACUCGGGCAGUUCAGGGCAGUCUGGCCACUCUGGCAGUUCAGGGCAGUCUGGCCACUCUGGCAGUUCAGGGCAGUCUGGCCACUCUGGCAGUUCAGGGCAGUCUGGCCACUCUGGCAGUUCAGGGCAGUCUGGCCACUCUGGCAGUUCAGGGCAGUCUGGUGACUGUUGACUGGCGGGCAGCUCUGGUGACUGUUGACUGGCGGGCAGCUCUGGUGACUGUUGACUGGCGAGGCUGGGCUGACACACUAGACUCCUGAUGCGUGGGGCUGGUAUUGGAAGUGCCAGCCUGGAGACACGCACCUCCAUGCUAGUGCGUCUAGCGGGAAACACCGGACCGAAAGGGCGAGAUGGUGCGUACCUCAGCGUAACAUGGCGCCCUCCACCUCAUAUGCACCUCCCUGUAGUCACGGGUAGCUGGCUUACGGCUCUUCCCUGGCCUGGCCAAGCUACCCGUGUGCCCCCCCAAUUUUUUUUAUUGUGGGUGCCUCUCGCGCUCGUUGCGCUCUCUCUCUUCGUAAUAGCGCCUCUCCGCUCUCGCCGCUUCAAUCUCCCACUGCUGGAGGCGAUAAUCCCCAGCCUGAGUCCAUGGUCCCUCUCCGUCCAGGAUCUGUUCCCAAGUCCAUUCCUCCUUUUUUCUCUCCAGUGGCUUCCUCCUCUUCUGCUGCUUGGUCCUUUGGUGGGUGGUUCUGUAACGGCUGUCUUCAUAAAUGGACCAAGGCGCAGCAGGUAUGUGAAUACUCAUCUUUAAUUAAAAGUAAGGAGUAAAGCAUCCACUUAACAACACAAAAAGGUGACAACAGUGACAGUUCUGCAGGCUAUAAACGCAGUGCAAAAACAACCACCCACAAACCCCAGUGACAAACAUACUCCUACAUAUAUGACUCCCAAUCAGGAACAACGAUCCCCAGCGGUUCCUGAUCAGGAGUCACAAGACACACAGAACAUUCAAACACAACAACAAGACUGCCACGUCCUGACCCCCAAACUACUACAACAGCUCCAUCUGCUGGUCAGGACGUGACACUCAGCACUGGAUACAAGUUUCACAUCAAUGUGUAACCCUCUCACCAGGCUUGAAUAUGACUCUCACAAUAUUAACUUAUGUAGAGUAUCUCAACAGCAUGGGAUGUUAGGUGAGAAGGACAUCUCCACUAAGAAUUCCUAUUGUAAACUAUCUAGGGUGAUGACAAUAGGGUAUUAACUUCAGAUGAAAUGAUUACAGGUUUCUGUUAUUGUUUCAGGAUAGGCUAUCCCAUGCAUUAAAUUAAAUUGAAAACAGUAAAUGACUCCAUCAAGGCAACAUACAUAAGGUUCAAUAUGUGUAUGAUUACAUUUUCAUAGCUCAACAUCAAAAGAAAUAAAAAAUAAUAAACCCCAAUGAGUCGUGCACAACCCAUGUACAAAUGAUUUCAAGCUUGUUUAACCUGUUGGCGUGCGUUGGAGCUAAAAAAAAAGACGACACACAUAAAGUCCAGAAGCACUCCACCGUUGUGGUUACUCACUACUUGAAGAUAUUCCUUCAGCGAAGUAUGGCAGUUCCUUGCAGGUUUCCUCACAAGAUCCACAGCGAGCACAGCCAUCAAUGCAGACAGUACUCUUUAGCAGUAACCGAUAUCCCAUGAACUCGUUAAGCUUUCCCAAGCAAUUCUCUCUCGGUGUUACACUAUGCUAGGCUAACCUCAAGGCUGUCAAAUACCUCCAUGAUGAAACGGUAGCUUCAGUCUUUACUAAGUCUUAACAAAAUUAUAACAACUAUCUUAUAAAAAAAAAUCGAUAUUUCCCUUCAUGUCUUAGUAGGUAAUGGUUUUGUUAUAGUUUUGUUGUCUUCUUUUAUAAUUUUUCUUCACCAACGGUCCUGUAUGUAAAAAUCCAUCCUUUUCU